AUUGAACGCUGGCGGCAGGCCUAACACAUGCAAGUCGAACGGUAACAGGAAGCAGCUUGCUGCUUCGCUGACGAGUGGCGGACGGGUGAGUAAUGUCUGGGAAGCUGCCUGAUGGAGGGGGAUAACUACUGGAAACGGUAGCUAAUACCGCAUAAUGUCGCAAGACCAAAGAGGGGGACCUUCGGGCCUCUUGCCAUCGGAUGUGCCCAGAUGGGAUUAGCUUGUUGGUGGGGUAACGGCUCACCAAGGCGACGAUCCCUAGCUGGUCUGAGAGGAUGACCAGCCACACUGGAACUGAGACACGGUCCAGACUCCUACGGGAGGCAGCAGUGGGGAAUAUUGCACAAUGGGCGCAAGCCUGAUGCAGCCAUGCCGCGUGUAUGAAGAAGGCCUUCGGGUUGUAAAGUACUUUCAGCGGGGAGGAAGGAAGUAAAGUUAAUACCUUUGCUCAUUGACGUUACCCGCAGAAGAAGCACCGGCUAACUCCGUG
rnacentral:rRNA from 1 species